rnacentral:rRNA from 1 species
AGUUGGAAUUGCUAGUAAUACGCGAAUCAGAAUGUCGCGGUGAAUACGUUCCCGGGCCUUGUACACACCGCCCGUCACACCAUGAGAGUCGAUAACACCCGAAGCCUGUGAGCUAACCUUUCAGGAGGCAGCAGUCGAAGGUGGGGUUGAUGAUUGGGGUGAAGUCGUAACAAGGUAGC